GCUACGUCAUGAGGGUAUUACUCACCUACUGCAUUAUGAAUAGUGGCUAUCUGGACAUCCUACUCAUUUGACGAGGUGUUUUUGCAUACUACAUAGUAGUGAAAUAUGUUCGCGCGCGUGGGUGGUGUGUGCGUGCGUGUCUGUUUGAGUAAGAAUCUGGCUGCGCGCACGUGUGCGGGGAUGUUCCAUUGACUUCUAUUAUCUUUACUGUUCUAAUUUCUGUCCCCUUUUUUCUCGUGUGGAAUAUUGGGAGGUGCAGGCAAACACUGACUAACAUUUAUUGAUAGACUGUCCAGCCCAGCUUUCAAUCAAGCCAGAGAGUCACGGCGGCGCCGACUCUUCAUUUCUGGUGUGUGCGCUCCCACGGGUCACUCCAAACCCAAGAGAGGGAGGUAUGGCCGCUUGUAAUUUUAGCAGAUUGAGAGGCAUUUCCCAUCGUAUAUUUAUUAUAGGUCUGCCGGUGCUACUGCUAGUCCAACUAACGGUGCCACGCGCGCAUAUAAUAACACGAGCGGGGACGAGCCUGCUUUUCUCGUCUUGAGCAUAGAGAAGAGUGACGGAUCAGCGUCGUCUGAGGUUAGAAAAAAUGAAGGGGAUUUGGAAAUCAGCGUGUUGGGUCUCUGGACUGACGAGGAUUCGAGACUGACAGGAUACAGGGACAAAAAAGAGCCUGAAGAACGCCAGGUUGUGGCUAGAGAGCUGAUACUGCAGCCAUGGGCAUCAGAACAACCCUCGUUUAUUGCAGAGUUGUAGCGUCUCACCCAGUCCCUCACCACAACAGAGAUGGAAAUCACACAUCUACACACUCUCCUGUUCACCCACAUGUUUUGUGCAUCAACCACUGGAAGGGCAAACGGGGUUGUGUGGCCCUAUAGUCAUUCAGGUUGAUGUUGGGCGUAUGGAUUUGGAGAGUGCUGAAUGGUGCAUAUUAGAAAGCUGGAUUAAGGAUGGA
ensembl:lncRNA